AUUGAACACUGGCGGCAGGCUUAACACAUGCAAGUCGAGCGGAGCGAGGGUGCUUGCACCUUAGCUUAGCGGCGGACGGGUGAGUAAUGCUUAGGAAUCUGCCUAUUAGUGGGGGACAACAUUUUGAAAGGAAUGCUAAUACCGCAUACGUCCUACGGGAGAGAGCAGGGGAUCUUCGGACGUUGCGCUAAUAGAUGAGCCUAAGUCGGAUUAGCUAGUUGGUGGGGUAAAGGCCUACCAAGGCGACGAUCUGUAGCGGGUCUGAGAGGAUGGUCCGCCAAACUGGGACUGAGACACGGUCCAGACUCCUACGGGAGGCAGCAGUGGGGAAUAUUGGACAAUGGGCGAAAGCCUGAUCCAGCCAUGCCGCGUGUGUGAAGAAGGUCUUCGGAUUGUAAAGCACUUUAAGUUGGGAGGAAGGGUUGUAAGCUAAUAUCUUGCAGCUUUGACGUUACCAACAGAAUAAGCACCGGCUAACUCUGUGCCAGCCGCCGCAGUAAGAC
rnacentral:rRNA from 1 species